rnacentral:rRNA from 1 species
GACGAACGCUGGCGGCGUGCUUAACACAUGCAAGUCGAACGGAAAGGCCCUGCGUUUGUGGGGUGCUCGAGUGGCGAACGGGUGAGUAACACGUGAGUAACCUGCCCUUGACUUUGGGAUAACUUCAGGAAACUGGGGCUAAUACCGGAUAGGAGCUCCUGCUGCAUGGUGGGGGUUGGAAAGUUUCGGCGGUUGGGGAUGGACGCGCGGCUUAUCAGCUUGUUGGUGGGGUAGUGGCUUACCAAGGCUUUGACGGGUAGCCGGCCUGAGAGGGUGACCGGCCACAUUGGGACUGAGAUACGGCCCAGACUCCUACGGGAGGCAGCAGUGGGGAAUAUUGCACAAUGGGCGGAAGCCUGAUGCAGCAACGCCGCGUGCGGGAUGACGGCCUUCGGGUUGUAAACCGCUUUCGCCUGUGACGAAGCGUGAGUGACGGUAAUGGGUAAAGAAGCACCGGCUAACUACGUG